UCUACGGGGGGCAGCAGUGGGGAAUAUUGGACAAUGGGCGAAAGCCUGAUCCAGCCAUGCCGCGUGUGUGAAGAAGGCCUUCGGGUUGUAAAGCACUUUCAGUGGGGAAGAAAGCCUUGGGGCUAAUACCCUCGAGGAAGGACAUCACCCACAGAAGAAGCACCGGCUAACUCCGUGCCAGCAGCCGCGGUAAUACGGAGGGUGCGAGCGUUAAUCGGAAUUACUGGGCGUAAAGCGCGCGUAGGCGGUCUGAUAAGCCGGUUGUGAAAGCCCCGGGCUCAACCUGGGAACGGCAUCCGGAACUGUCAGGCUAGAGUGCAGGAGAGGAAGGUAGAAUUCCCGGUGUAGCGGUGAAAUGCGUAGAGAUCGGGAGGAAUACCAGUGGCGAAGGCGGCCUUCUGGACUGACACUGACGCUGAGGUGCGAAAGCGUGGGUAGCAAACAGGAUUAGAUACCCCGGUAGUC
rnacentral:rRNA from 1 species